rnacentral:lncRNA from 1 species
AAAGAUCACAACGAUCCGAGGGGGUGUGAGGUUUUUAAUGAUGUGGACACCCAUGUAAACCCCUUGUGAAAUAUAAUCAAGGUACCCCAAAAUGAGAAGUACAACCACUGAAGCAAUCAACCCCUUUGUAAAACGAAGUGACGUUGUCUUCGGUGUAGAGGUCGAUCACGACUGAGCUAAGAUGGUCCCAUCCCACCACACGAAGGGGUACAAGGAGACAUUGUUUAC